CCCGCAACGAGCGCAACCCUCGCCCUUAGUUGCCAGCAUUUAGUUGGGCACUCUAAGGGGACUGCCGGUGAUAAGCCGAGAGGAAGUGGGGAGUGACGUCAAGUCCUCAUGGCCCUUACGGGCUGGGCUACACACGUGCUACAAUGGUGGUGACAGUGGGCAGCGAGCACGCGAGUGUGAGCUAAUCUCCAAAAGCCAUCUCAGUUCGGAUUGCACUCUGCAACUCGAGUGCAUGAAGUUGGAAUCGCUAGUAAUCGCGGAUCAGCAUGCCGCGGUGAAUACGUUCCCGGGCCUU
rnacentral:rRNA from 1 species